GUAGUCAUAUGCUUGUCUCAAAGAUUAAGCCAUGCAUGUCUAAGUAUAAGCAAUUAUACCGCGAAACUGCGAAUGGCUCAUUAAAUCAGUUAUCGUUUAUUUGAUAGUACCUUACUACAUGGAUAACCGUGGUAAUUCUAGAGCUAAUACAUGCUAAAAAUCCCGACUUCGGAAGGGAUGUAUUUAUUAGAUUAAAAACCAAUGCCCUUCGGAGCUCUCUGGUGAUUCAUAAUAACUUCUCGAAUCGCACGGCCUUGCGCCGGCGAUGGUUCAUUCAAAUUUCUGCCCUAUCAACUCUCGACGGCUGGGUCUUGGCCAGCCGUGGUGACAACGGGUAACGGAGGGUUAGGGCUCGACCCCGGAGAAGGAGCCUGAGAAACGGCUACUACAUCCAGGGAAGGCAGCAGGCGCGCAAAUUACCCAAUCCCGACACGGGGAGGUAGUGACAAUAAAUACUGAUACAGGGCUCUUUCGGGUCUUGUAAUUGGAAUGAGUACAAUUUAAAUCCCUUAACGAGGAACAAUUGGAGGGCAGGUCUGGUGCCAGCAGCC
rnacentral:rRNA from 1 species